rnacentral:lncRNA from 12 species
AGUUGGAAGAGGAAGAGACACUGGACAAAGAAACAGCAGGGUAGUGGCCAACGAGGUGUAAUUGAUUUCUAUCAACAUGGAACUUCUUUAUAUUAUGAAGUUAUCUCAAUCAUUCAGACCUAUGCAAGGGGAAACUAUAUUUUUCACCCUAUGCAGAUCCUAGGUAAAGAUAGAGAAAUUUUGUUUUUUUCUUUUCUUUACUCUUUUGGAUACCUUUUUUGACAGAUGGAUUUUUUUUUUUUU